rnacentral:ncRNA from 1 species
UCCCUGUUGACGGAAUGAACGGAAUUCAGUAGCGAUAACUGAGCAGGGA